UAGACCUUCAGUUUAUUUGGAAAUCUCUGUUAGGCCAUAUUUUAUGAUUCACUGGGCAAACAUAUCUUAUACACUGCAUGAGUCUUUGUAUUUGUGUGAAUAUUGACUUAUCCUUCAGCUUUUAAGGCACUAGUUGCAGGAACAGAGAUUUCUUUCUGCUAAAUGAAUCUUGACAGGUGAACUUUACAUUGUUUGAAGGCAUUUUAAUUCCUUCCAGAUAUACAUUAAUUUAUCUAGUUUAUUGACUGGAAGUUAUAAUUGAGUUGCAAAAUGAGAGCAACAUGUUCUUUUCCUUCUGACAGAUUCAUUUCCAUCGGAAUACAUCGUCUUCAACGACAGGUGACCAACCCACUAGGAACACUUAUAUAGGGCACUCAUCAUGAAUGGAGCUUGCAGUUCUGGAAGUCGCUCUUGGGUGAGUCAUUGAGUGAGUGGUGAGUGAAUGUGAAGGCCUAGGACAUUACUGUACACUAUUGCAGAUUAUAACCACUGUACACUUAUACUACACUAAAUUUAUUUUAAAAGUUUUUCUUUCUUUAAUAAUAAGUUAGCUUACUGUAACUUUUUUACUUCAUAAACUUUUUAGUUUUUUAAACUUUUUGACUCUUUUGUAAUAACAUUUAGCUUAAAAUGAGAACAUUCAGC
rnacentral:lncRNA from 1 species